rnacentral:rRNA from 1 species
UACAGAGGUCUCAAGCGUUGUUCGGAUUCAUUGGGCGUAAAGGGUGCGUAGGCGGCGUGGUAAGUCCCGUGUGAAAUCCCUCGGCUCAACUGAGGAAUGGCACGGGAAACUGACGGGCUUGAGUUCGGGCGAGGGAAGCGGAAUUCCGGGUGUAGCGGUGAAAUGCGUAGAUAUCCGGAGGAACACCGGUGGCGAAGGCGGCUUCCUGGACCGACACUGACGCUGAGGCGCGAAAGCUAGGGGAGCAAACGGG